GGUAAAACGCAGCGUUUUGCGG
rnacentral:snRNA from 1 species